UACGUAGGCAGCGAGCGUUGUUCGGAGUUACUGGGCGUAAAGGGUGUGUAGGCGGUUCUCUAAGUUUGGUGUGAAAUCUCCCGGCUCAACCGGGAGGGUGCGCCGAAAACUGGAGGGCUAGAGGGCGGGAAGGGAGAGUAGAAUUCCUGGUGUAGCGGUGAAAUGCGUAGAUAUCAGGAGGAAUACCGGUGGUGUAGACGGCUCUCUGGACCGCGACUGACGCUGAGACACGAAAGCGUGGGUAGCAAACAGG
rnacentral:rRNA from 1 species